rnacentral:rRNA from 1 species
UACAGAGGGUGCGAGCGUUAUUCGGAAUUACUGGGCGUAAAGCGUGCGUAGGCGGCUUUGCAAGUCGGGUGUGAAAUCCCCAGGCUUAACCUGGGAACUGCAUUCGAGACUGCAUUGCUAGAGUAUGGGAGAGGGAAGUGGAAUUUCAGGUGUAGCGGUGAAAUGCGUAGAUAUCUGAAGGAACAUCAGUGGCGAAAGCGACUUCCUGGACCAAUACUGACGCUCAUGUGCGAAAGCGUGGGGAGCAAACAGG